GCGUUUGUACUCGUUGCCUACAAGAGCGCCCAAAUUUGAACAUCACUGAUGUUCAUCGGAUUUACAGAGUGACGACAACCCCCGUCAGCAUGUUAGAUAAAGGAUUUAAGUUAUAUGCUGCAUCAUAUAUACACAACUACGAAGUGUCCAAAAAACACAGGUUGACAGGGGAAGUCGGUGUGAGAGCCCUGUGCUACAGGUCAAUGAGGAAGAGUGAGGCACCACACAGACUAAGUGUAGGCAGGAAGCUGUGUAAAGUUGUUAAUCCCUGUUCAGUGGGGUUCAGUUCAUUUAAGCAUUAGUUAAGUUCAUUCCUGAAGGCCCAUCAACUUGAAUGUUUUCCUUGUCCCCCUGCUUUAUCACACCUAAUUUGACUAGUCAGAUGUGUUUGGGUGAUCAGAAACAAAUUUACACCAAGUUAAUACUGCAAAUAUACACAAUCUAAGUUAUUACAGUUAUCAAGGAUGGUUAAAUUGUUUUAAUAGGGAGAGAAGGAAACACUAAGCAUUCAGGAGGGUAAGCCUGUAGGGGUCAGUAACCAUAACACUGAACUAUGUUCCUGUUCGGCUCUUCCAUGAAGAUGAUGUUACAUUUUUAAUUUUAGUUCUUUCUUCUUAGAUUAAGCUUCUGGAUUCAUCGCCGGUGGUACUGACACAUAGCCAGUGCUCCUGUGUGGCAGGUGCUGUUAUGUGCAAUCACACAGUGGCACUGCUCUUCCAAACAGCACACUACUCACAACUCAGAGUGCCGGUUGUCCCCCUGUGCAUAGCUGCACCGAAUCUGAACAGCAAUGGCACAAGCCACGGACAGUGGGUGUGAAGCCAGGACCUAUCAACUCUAUGAUCUUCACUAAGCCGGUACCAAAUAGGAUGGCCCAGACUGGAGUACGGAGUGGAUUCUACAGAGGCAUUGUGGGUCCAUUACCAGAUCCCUGACCUGACAAGCCCCUUGUGGAAAGUGCCUUUGGGCUGGUGCAGGAGGGCAGUGUUCUGUCAUGUCAGCAGCCGGUUUUGACAACCCGGUACAUCACACUACACCGUGAUGCACCACCAACACCGCACUUGCCUCUGGAGUAUGGGUAUGACAUGAAGGAAACCCUGCUCGCUCAGACAGCCUGUGAUAUUUUCUCAAACCGCUGCGCUGAACCAGUUUCCAAAGAACAUGCUGUGUGACACAAUAAAUAUCCUUUAACCUGUUAACCUGUGGCUUCUGGAAGAAACUCGGGUGAGUCAGUCACUGCAAACACAUUUGUAUCAUCAAGUGUUUGUCAAAUGAAAAUGAUAUGUUUUUCUACACUUAGGAUAAUUUUCUAUGUUGCAGUGCAGUAAAGUGCACGUUUCUUCUGUGUUCAAUCAUACAUGUUCUAAUUGUUAUAAACAGAAAAAAUCUUUUCUUACUUAACUGCUUGAUUCUUAACUUGUUUAACUGAAACAUGAUGAAAUGUCAUAGUAUUAUUUUUUUUUUUUAAAUGUCCUUGGCAGUGCAUGUGUCUGCAUUGUAACUUACUAAUAAAAAGUCCUGUGUGUA